UUGGCCAAACACGUGUUUCACUGGGACAAUAAAGAGUGGUGCACACUUCCUUCUCCCGGCCACAGAACAAAAAAAAAAUAGUCCCAUUUAAGAGUUGCUGGUGUAACAAUAGGAAGAAUAUAUUCCACUCCUCUCUUCUACACGCGGCUUAUGAGAUGAACGCUCGUCAAGAAGAACGUCCCCUUCAGCAGUAAGAGGAUCCACAGCCCCUCCAUAUUAAAGAAGAAAAGGAGGAUCUCUGGGUUACUCAGGAGGAAGAGUUUGUUCCAGGGCAGGAGGAGGCGGAUCACAGCAAGUUUCCACUGACUGUUGUCUCUGUGAAGACGGAAGCCCAUGAAAACAAACCACCUGAGUCCUCACAGCUUCAUCACAGUCCAAAUGUCUGUGAAGAACACCUUCUGACUGAAAAACAGGAGUGUAGCUUCAGAAUGGUGAAGGAGGAUCCUUCUAAGAGGACGACCAGGUGCCACAGACCCUCUGGCGUCUCCUUUUCUUCUUUGACACAGACGCUUCCCUGUAAAAAGGAAGAGGAAGAUUCACUGACCCUCCACAUUAAAGAGGAAGCGAUGGAACACAAAAUCAGUCAGGAGGGAGAUCAUCUUGAAUGACUGGUGGAGUUCCCAGUGAUUGGCGUCCUCGUGAAGAGUGAAGAUGAAGAGGUCAAAGGUAAAAGUGAGGAGAAGAGAAAGGCGGAGCCCCCAAGCAGCAACUCAACACAACACAUGACAACAGAAGCUGAUGGAGACCACUGUGGAGGAUCACAAGCAGACAAGCUCUUAGCUCCACUGUCAGAUAGUGAGGACACAACGUCACACUCCUGACACUGAUGAUGAAGACUCUAAAGAUGAUAAGACAUGUCACACUGACAACACUCACUUCACAUGUUCUCACUGUGACAAAUCCUUUCGUUCCCGUUCUUAUCUGAAAGUACACAUGAGAACACACACUGGAGAAAAAACGUUUUCCUGCUCAGAAUGUGGUAAAUGUUUUACAAUACGUAAGAGUUUAAAAGUACACACGAGGACCCACACUGGAGAAAAACCUUUUUCUUGUUCAUUCUGUGAUGAAGGUUUUACAGAAAAAAAUGUGUUGAACGAACACAUUUCAAUACACACUGGUGAAAAGCCUUUUACCUGUUCAAUACGUGGUAAAAGUUUUACACACAGUCAGACUUUGAAAAAACACACAAGGUUACACACUGGUGAAAAACCUUUUAUCUGUUCAAUAUGUGGCUCUUCUUUUCCGAGGAAGGAAUCUUUGAAAGUGCACAUGAGAACACACACUGGUGAAAAACCGUUUUCCUGUUCAGUCUGUGGUAAAGGUUUUGCAGAAAUUCAACAUUUGAAAAGACACAGGAAAACGCACACUGGUGAAAAAACACAUUCCUGUUCAAUCUGCAACAGAAGCUUUUGUGACCUAACAAACCUUAGAGCACACAUGAGAACACACCCAGGAGAGAAAGUGUUGAGUUGCAGUGUGUGUGGUGAAAGAUUCUCUUAUAAGAAGCAGUGUAAGAAACACAAGUGUGCUGGUGAGAACAGCAACAGUAAAUGAAACUGCAGGAUUUGAAAUAACCCUAAUCCCUAACCUCAAGGCAUGAUUUUGACUCUUUAUUGUUUGACUUCACAUAUUUCCAAAAAUGCCUGCCAAGGAGGGGCAGCAAGGUAGACAAAAACAUAUGAGUAGAGUGACCAUCUUCAGAAAAUGUGCCGAAUAUCUUUACACACCUCGGUCUUCUCUCCAGCACCAUUAGAACAAAAAGGGACGUUUUUGUCAUGAAAAAGGAAGGUUUUUGUGGUUGGUGCACUAAUUGUAAGUGUAUAUUGUGUUUUUUAUGUGGAUUUAAUUAAAAAAAAACAUAUAUAUAUAUAUAUAUAUAUAUAUAUAUUUUUUUUUUUAAUAUAAAUGAAUGAAAAAUUCUUCUGCGGCCCGGUGGUUGGGGACCACUGCCUUAUAGGGCUGCGAAUCCUUGGGUGUCCCACGAUUCGAUUCAGUAUCGAUUCUUGGGGUCACGAUUCGAUAAUAUAUCGAUUUUUUUCAAAACGAUUCUGUAUUCAUUCAAUACAUAGCAUUUCAGCAGGAUCUACCCCAGUCUGCUGACAUGCAAGCAGAGUAGUAGAUUUUUUUAAAAAGCUUUUAGAAUUGUAAAGAACAAUGUUUUAUCAACUGAUUGCAAUAAUGUAAAUUUGUUUUCACUAUUAAACAAAUUAAAAAAUA